GCCCUCAACAUGGCCAAAACUGGAUGCUGACAACACCAAGUGUUGACAGGACAGUGGAGGGACUAGAACUCUCUCAUCCGCCGCUGCUGGGUGUGAAACAGUUUGCCACAGGCCUUCGGUCUCAUGAAGUCGUGCGCUUCGCACACAGCCUAGCGACCCCACUCCCGGACGUUUACCCGAGAGGAACGAACACAUAACGUCUGCGCAAAGACAGAUCUGUUGGCAAACGUUCGCGGCGGCUUCGCUGUGACCUCCAAACCGCUGGAAACACCCCAAACGUCCACCAGCAGGGGGGCACAGAUGAACAAGCCGAGGGAAGGUGAUGCCAACCCCGGUGUGAAGGCGGCGGUGUGAGCAGUGGGAUUCCGAUUUCAGCUCUGAGGCAGAGUCCACAGGCCGUGCAGGCGCCCCUUGCAAGCCCCUGUUCGCCCCCAGUGGAGUAGACAUCCUAGACCGGCACGGGACAACGGAUACGACGAAGCCACAGAUAAGGGCACAUGGGUAACUUAAAAUUCCCCAGCAUCCACGUUUUCAAAAGUGGAAAAUAAAUAGAUGCAAUUAAUUGUAA